rnacentral:rRNA from 1 species
GAUUGACGGAGCGAAGCGACGUCAAAGCGUAUACAAAGUCGAGUCGGUUUAAGGAUACGUUCGUUGGGUAGGGGAGCGUUCUGUAAGCCUGCGAAGGUGGCCUGUGAGGGUUGCUGGAGGUAUCAGAAGUGCGAAUGCUGACAUAAGUAACGAUAAAGCGGGUGAAAAGCCCGCUCGCCGGAAGACCAAGGGUUCCUGUCCAACGUUAAUCGGGGCAGGGUGAGUCGACCCCUAAGGCGAGGCCGAAAGGCGUAGUCGAUGGGAAACGGGUUAAUAUUCCCGUACUUGGUGUUACUGCGAAGGGGGGACGGAGAAGGCUAUGUUGGCCGGGCGACGGUUGUCCCGGUUUAAGCGUGUAGGUGUGUGUUCCAGGUAAAUCCGGUUCACUUUAACACUGAGGCGUGACGACGAGGCACUACGGUGCUGAAGCAACAAAUGCCCUGCUUCCAGGAAAAGCCUCUAAGCAUCAGGUAACAUCAAAUCGUACCCCAAACCGACACAGGUGGUCAGGUAGAGAAUACCAAGGCGCUUGAGAGAACUCGGGUGAAGGAACUAGGCAAAAUGGUGCCGUAACUUCGGGAGAAGGCACGCUGACACGUAGGUGAAGUGAUUUACUCAUGGAGCUGAAGUCAGUCGAAGAUACCAGCUGGCUGCAACUGUUUAUUAAAAACACAGCACUGUGCAAACACGAAAGUGGACGUAUACGGUGUGACGCCUGCCCGGUGCCGGAAGGUUAAUUGAUGGGGUCAGCGCAAGCGAAGCUCCUGAUCGAAGCCCCGGUAAACGGCGGCCGUAACUAUAACGGUCCUAAGGUAGCGAAAUUCCUUGUCGGGUAAGUUCCGACCUGCACGAAUGGCGUAAUGAUGGCCAGGCUGUCUCCACCCGAGACUCAGUGAAAUUGAACUCGCUGUGAAGAUGCAGUGUACCCGCGGCAAGACGGAAAGACCCCGUGAACCUUUACUAUAGCUUGACACUGAACAUUGAGCCUUGAUGUGUAGGAUAGGUGGGAGGCUUUGAAGUGUGGACGCCAGUCUGCAUGGAGCCGACCUUGAAAUACCACCCUUUAAUGUUUGAUGUUCUAACGUGGACCCGUGAUCCGGGUUGCGGACAGUGUCUGGUGGGUAGUUUGACUGGGGCGGUCUCCUCCUAAAGAGUAACGGAGGAGCACGAAGGUUGGCUAAUCCUGGUCGGACAUCAGGAGGUUAGUGCAAUGGCAUAAGCCAGCUUGACUGCGAGCGUGACGGCGCGAGCAGGUGCGAAAGCAGGUCAUAGUGAUCCGGUGGUUCUGAAUGGAAGGGCCAUCGCUCAACGGAUAAAAGGUACUCCGGGGAUAACAGGCUGAUACCGCCCAAGAGUUCAUAUCGACGGCGGUGUUUGGCACCUCGAUGUCGGCUCAUCACAUCCUGGGGCUGAAGUAGGUCCCAAGGGUAUGGCUGUUCGCCAUUUAAAGUGGUACGCGAGCUGGGUUUAGAACGUCGUGAGACAGUUCGGUCCCUAUCUGCCGUGGGCGCUGGAGAACUGAGGGGGGCUGCUCCUAGUACGAGAGGACCGGAGUGGACGCAUCACUGGUGUUCGGGUUGUCAUGCC